rnacentral:misc_RNA from 1 species
GAUGAAGAACGUAGCGAAAUGCGAUAAGUAAUGUGAAUUGCAGAAUUCAGUGAAUCAUCGAAUCUUUGAACGCACAUUGCGCCCGCCAGUAUUCUGGCGGGCAUGCCUGUCCGAGCGUCAUUUCAACCCUCGAACCCCUCCGGGGGGUCGGCGUUGGGGAUCGGCACUUACCUGCCGGCCCCGAAAUACAGUGGCGGUCUCGCCGCAGCCUCUCCUGCGCAGUAGUUUGCACACUCGCACCGGGAGCGCGGCGCGUCCACGGCCGUAAAACAACCCAAACUUCUGAAAUGUUGACCUCGGAUCAGGUAGGAAUACCCGCUGAACUUAAGCAUAUCAAUAAGCGAGGA